GCCAUGGGCUCCAGGCUCCUCUGCUGGGUGGCCCUUGGUCUCCUGGGAGCAGGCCCUGUGGAUGCUGAGGUCACUCAGAGCCCCAGAAACCUUGUCACAGCAAGGGGUCAGCCAGUGACCCUGAGAUGCAACUAUGAAUCCGGCCAUGAUAGUGUGUACUGGUACCAACAGACUCUGGGCAAGGGCCCUCGGUUCCUCAUUCAGUAUUUCAGUGGCACAAUGAGAGAAAAAGGAGACAUCCCUGCGCACUUCUCAGUGCAACAGUUCAGUAAGGACUUCAGCUCUGAGCUGAGCGUGAGCUCCGUGGAAGGGGCCGACUCUGCCCUGUACCUCUGUGCCAGCAGCUUAUCACAGCCCUGCCUGCUCGGCUGCCUCCUGCACAAAAACAGCCCAGGCCAGCCCAGGAAGUGGCAGCGAGGGAGGCUGCCAGGAGGUGAGAACCCACCUUCACACCAGACCUUGUCCCCCAUGUCCUGUGGCCAGCUGUCCCAAUGCAGUCACAGGCAGGGAAUGGCUUACCCAGAAGACAGUGGAACAGAGGAAGAGCUUGUGUCUGACCAGCCCUUGCUUGAACUCAGAACCCUGGUGUGA